CCUACGGGGGGCAGCAGUCGAGAAUCAUUCACAAUGGGGGAAACCCUGAUGGUGCGAAGCCGCGUGGGGGAAUGAAGGUCUUCGGAUUGUAAACCCCUGUCAUGUGGGAGCAAAUUAAAAAGAUAGUACCACAAGAGGAAGAGACGGCUAACUCUGUGCCAGCAGCCACGGUAAUACAGAGGUCUCAAGCGGUGUUCGGAAUCACUGGGCGUAAAGCGUGCGUCGGCUGUCUCGUAAGUCGUGGGUGAAAGGCGCGGGCUCAACCAGAGGAUUGCACAUGAGACUGCGAGACUAGAGUAAUGUAGGGGGAAACGGAAUGCGCGGUGUAGCAGUGAAAUGCGUAGAUAUCGAGCGGAACACGCGUGGCGAAGGCGGGUUCCCGGACAUUAACUGACGCUGAGGCACGAAGGCCAGGGGAGCGAAAGGGAUUAGAUACCCGAGUAGUC
rnacentral:rRNA from 1 species